UCUCCUAUGAAACUCAUUUGUUUAUUAUACAGAAAAUAUGUGUGAUUGUGUUGUGCUAAUUAUUUUCUAGGUAGCAAAAGAAUAUGCUGCUGGGGGAGGAAGUUAAGUUAUUAUAUACCAGCUUUACACUCAUCUUCUGAUGUAGUUUUCAGAUUGAGUUUAGAUUUUAAGCAGAUAAAACAAUGGUUAUGUACUUACGGUGUAAACCAUUGAGAGAUAAAUAGCAGAAUUUAUCCAUACCUAUCUGUGGGAGGAUGGAUUGUGAGAGAACAGAGAUAGUGCUGAAGGCAGUCUUACCCCUGAGAAUUUGCAGCUGUACUGAUUACCAAAGAGUAGGAACAGUCCUGCCCUUAAUAGGGCACAGCCGUGUCCAAUAAGGAUGGGUGGUAUAAAGAGUGGUUCAGCUCGUUGAGAGGAGAGUUGGAGUCAGUUGGGUCUGCUGCUGUGAGGAGUGAGGGUCAGGUGUGUGUGUUAGGGACAGGAAGAAGUCAACCAGCUUUGUGUAAGGAAGAGAAAAGGAGUCAGUGCUAUGAGGAGUUGCCCAUGAGAACUCACAGAGAGAAGGUAUCAAAGUCCUACAGCAAGGUAAUAAACUAACAGUGACAGUCAGUUCCCAUCCACUCAAUUGGUGCUAAGCACUGAUGCCAACAACUGGUGGCCUGUAUGGGGAUGGAUCCUGACACCUGUCUAACAGAAGAAACAGAGAUUUCCACUUGCAGAAUGCUGUUAGGAUGGCUAGUCAGGAAAUCAUGAGAUCUAGAAGGAAAAGGACAUAAUUAGAAGUGUUGAAGAUGUUCUUAUGGCAGAUAAAAAGGAAAUUGGUAAAGAUCCAAUUUAUGAAAAGAAGGCACAGUAAUGCAGUAUCUAAAGGAAAUGACAGCACAAAAUUUAAAAAUUUGAGUUGGUAAAGUCUCUUGUUAAUCCAGGGCAAUGUGAAAACCUAGACUAAUAAAUUUGUUUCCUACAUUUUAAAAUCUUCCACAUAAACAAAGAUUAAAACUAAUUUGGAAUAAAAUAAUAAUAAAUUGUAUUAUCGUCCCUGUUAAAUCUUCUACACACACAUAUGUAAUCUAAAAAUUUUCUCAGGAUUUUUGAGAGGGUACUUCUGGAAUAGUUGACUAUAUUGUUAGAAAUAUGAUAAAUGAUAGUUAACAUGCAACCUGAAGGUCUCUGCACAUUACUAAUGUAGAAAAAAUUGUAUCUAGGACAGCAGAUUUUGUUUAAUAUUGUGGAGGAUGAGAGCAGAGAGACUGUGAAAAACCCUUGCUCAAUGCUUGAAAAGUUAGAUGAUCUGCAAUCUGAAAGACCUGACAUGCAACAAGAACUGUGUAAAGAGAGAGAAAUAUCUUUUAUCUUCUUGGUAAUCCUGGAAGAGCAAAAAAUGGGGAUUUAGUGUGCAUAGUACCUUUCACAGGCUUCUAGUGCUCUGCAGAAUGGCAGAUGCUCUACUAUUAGUACAGAAAACACGAAGAGAACAGCAAUUGUGGUUAGAUCUUUAUAUGUCAAGGCAAGGUCCUAUUGAUCGUUUGAGCAGACACACUGUCUAAUUAAGACCUAAUACAACAAAAAUAACAGAGCAGGUAAAUACUAGGUUUCCUUUGCAAGAUGUUAUUGUCAGCCUUAUGUGGCUCACAUUGGCGUUUGCAUCCCUUCCUUUCUCAUGACGUUUGAGUGUUACUACUUUGUGUCUUUGGAGAACAGCAGGCAUUCCUGUGGAACCAGUGGCCUUUAGAGAGGUGCGGAAGGCCACUAACAGCCAAUAUAAUGGCAGUCACAUAAGCAGUAACUUUGGCAUGUCUGUAGACUAAACCAAAGAUCUCCUCACAUGCCUUAUUAACAGUGAACAGACUACCCCUGGAAGUGUGUUAUGUGUCUCUGUUAACAUGGUUUGUGGCAAGUUUCUCACACAGAUUUCUUACAUGAUUCUGUUGCUAUUUGUGAACAAUGAUGGGAUUGCAGCAUACCAGCUGUGCUCGAGCACUAUUUUCUUGUACUAGGCUUGUAAGUUUUGGUAAAACCAAGAUCCUUGAACAGCUGAAUCAUGCUGUAGCUGUUUUGCUUUGUCUUUUCAGGCUUUGUAAUAACACUACUGCAAGUAAACUCUAAUCUGCCUGCAUUAAGUGCAGUUAAGCAUCUCUAUUGCCCUCCAUUGUCACCUUUCCAUCAGCUGCAAUAGCAAAACAGGAAGAAUUUAUGCACCAGAGUCAUAACAUCAAUUAAGCAGAAACAAAUAGAAGGAACUUAUGUAGGAAAAAAAUGUCAGUUCUAAAUGUGUCUGUGAGCUAGAAAUAUCUCUAUUCAAACAGGGCAAGCAAGUUCUUGCUGAAGCAUCCUAAGACAAAUACUGACUUUAAAGAGUGAGGCACACAUUGAGAAAGAUCCCUAGGAAUCAUAGCAACAAGCCUGUUACCUAAGAAAUCUGCUUGAUGCAAUUACACAGGUGUGGGUUGAGUGCUUCUCUGCAAUAUAUCUAUUCAGAGGUGAGCUUGCUAAUUCUGGAUGUUUAUUCUCAGUUAAGUACAUAUCCUUCUUGGGUAUAACAUCUGUGCAUAAUUUCCUUAUCUGUAAAUAAGGAAUGUUAAAAUAUCUUUCAAGAUUUGUGGCAAGUUUUUCCUCUGGUGCUUUCUUCUCAGUUGCUCAGAAUUUUGACAACAGACUUGCCUGAAAUUUACUUUUUGAUAAAGAUUAUUCUUAUUUGUUUAAUAGAGUCAAGGUUAUUGUUCAGAUAAUAUCUUCACAUCCCCUUUUUACUUUAACAUUGAUGAACUUUAAUAAAUCAGAAGUUUUGUUUUUGAAAAGGCUGUAUUUGUGUUAGUGUUCUAUACAAAACUAAUUAAUUUGGGUCUUUUAGUAUGAUGAUGAAGACAAAGUUGUAAACCAUAAUGUUGCAAAUAUCAGAGGUGCAGAAAAGUUUGAAAUUAUUUGAGUGUGUUCUGCCAUAUGAAUGAUGACAAACAAAAGCAACCUCUUCUCUUCCCCCUUCUGUCACCAAAACAGACUAGUGUUAGACUCCCCAAACUCCUUACAACUAGGAAGUCAAACGGAAGCUCAUUUUGUGACUCAGCUAGAUGUUAUUUAGGCUGCAGAAGCAAGACAGCGGCUUCAUUUUAAUUACAAAGCAAAAUAAACCCCUUUUUUAGACAUCCAAGUGGACAAAACCCUAUGUGAAUGAAACACUAGGCUUGAACUAUCACCACCUAAAAAUAAACCACAUCCUAUAUAAAAGAAAUUAUUUUCAAUAUAUUUCAUUUUCAAACAGAGCAAUGGGAGAUUUAUCUCUAGUAGGCCUUGCUGGGGAAAAAAAAUGAGGGGAAUCAAAAAAACCUUUGUAAAUUACUAAGAAUUUUAACUAGAAGAAAAAUGUGAAAGUUUUUUUUUUUCCCCAUUAAAUCUCUGGUUUUUCAGGACUUUUGAUGUAAAUAGAAGCAUUAUAUAGAAAUGCUAUGAAAUAGCGUAGCAUAGUUCGAAUAUUCUAGAAACCCAAAAAUGUGAAAUGAAGAUAUAGUGGAGUGUUAUUUGUGACGGAAAUUUUAAGUAAAUUUAUUAUGUUUAUUUUAGUUGUUAUUAAGAAGCAGCAACACAAUAGGUUCACACUGAGAGGAUGAAUGUAUUGAAUUAAUUUAUGAAUCUUAAGAGAUUAGUGGAUAUCAUUAUACAAUCGGUUGCAAUUUUUCAUUUCCUAGUGGUCUUUAACAACAAAGAUUUUUUUUCAAGCUAUUCUUUAUAAUUUUAUGAUAAUUGUAGAAAAUUGCUAUUUAAUUUUUGAUUUCUCUAUUUUUAUUUUCCACUCCAAUCUAUUUUCACUUUUUUAAUAAAAUGAGAGAAAAGAGUGACCUACAAAGAAAGAAUUGUGACUUUUUGCUUAUUAACAAUGGAAGAAAAAGUUUUUUUGUUAACAGUUGUAAUGCAAAUAAGGUUUCAUUUAGUCAGUUCUCUUUUUUGUCAUUGACCAGAAAGAUGAAAUGAGCUUUUCCUUUAUGUUUCUGAAAUGAAUGUGUAUUCAAACCAGAAAUGGUAUUCAAAAAAGUGUGCUCUACAUGUAUUUCAGUCUAAAAUUCAAGAAGGAAAAUUAUUUUGUCUUUAAAGGAUACCAGGUUUUGUUUUUCAUCUGGCAAUGUUAGUAUAAUGUUAGUGAAUGCUCAAUCUUUUAUUAAGGUUUUUUUCCUUAGUUUUGGGGACAGUUUUGUCUGUGUAAUGUGUCUGCUGGUUUUUGCUGUCUGUGCAUGGGCAGGGCAGUGGUGAGGGUCAAGCUUGAUUCCAGGUUAAGGGGUGACUGUGGGUGACUGUGGGUUGGGUGGUGGAUUCCAUUUUCUUCCCUCUAAGCUCCAGGCUGAUUCUUAUACUUCUUGUCAAAUGCUGUGCAGCACUGACAGUUUUGUCAACAGCUUUUAUGUUCUGGAGGCUUUUGCUCUUUGUUAUUGAUACUUCUCAAGACAGACUUUGAGCUAUUUUGGAGUAGUAUCAAAAUGUUUGUACUGUUCUUCAGAUGCUCGUUUGCCAAAAACAUACUGUCUGUCAAAAGCCUCUUUAGGAUCCUGGAUUCUUUCAUUUUCAUUGCUUGCCCAGACUGAUGCAGAUUGGAAGUGCGGGAGGUUUUGGCAUUAGAUGCCUACUAUGCAAGAGAACACAAAUUUUUGUCACAUCCUGUUUUUCACCUGUAGCCCACAUCAGACAGCACACCUGACAUUAUCCGAGUUCUCGGGGAAGAGUUACAACCCAAAGCUGUGAAGGAAGCUAUGAAAGAAGCAAACUCCUGUUUGUUGCAUGAGCCUGUCAAGUAGCCGAUCCCUCAAUUACUCUUGUUUGUGAUAACACUACUGCACCCUGAAGAUAAACUUGCUUUCCAAGCUUGGAAGAGAUUUUUUUGUCAACAGCUCCUGGCCAGGGGAUGCAGCAGCCAGAGGGAAGUCUACUAGCCAUUUUAAGUGUAAUUAGCUCAUUCUACUCCUGUGGAGGCUGGAUACAAAUCUUUUGAAGACUUAAAGAACAAAGGUACCAAUUCAGAUCCUUUAAGGGUCCACGGUUUCCAGAGUUGCCAGCUGUCAAGCUCCAGAUACGGAGCACACAAACCGAUCCAUUGGAACGCAAAAUUAUAACGUACAGAUUUAUGCAAGAGGGAUGACUGCAAAGUGCGUCGCAUGAGCAGUGUAAGAAGCUGGAAAUUGCUGCUGUUGUAGCUGUCAUAGGCACGUUAUUUUCUUUAGUAUGUGUGGAGAUUUUGCUGUCAGGCUUUUAUCCUCCAGAUUGUUUGUGCUGUACCUCUCUUCCUGCUUAAAAUAGAAAAUCAGUCACUGAACCUGGAUGCUAUUAAGUGUUCUUAGAAUAGUUCUUAACUAAGUUGGCUGAUUUGCACUUUCUGAUGAAAUAACGUUUGGUUGUUUAUUGCAGGCUCUGAAUAAACAUGUUUUUCCAGAAUCAACUAAUAAGAUUACUAAUUGCAUUUCAUCAACAGAAUUGUUUAUCAUAGGUAUACUCCUUCCAUCUAAUACUUAUCUUUUUAGUUGUGAUUUUAUUUUGAAAUAUCUGGAAUUUAUCUGCAUCAAACAUUGUGUCUUAUCAGCAUUUUGCAGGGUUUAACAGGGAAUGCUGAUGUCUUAUGUACUUCACAGGAGAUGGGAGGCAGCAAAUGGUUUCAAGUGUUUGGUAGGAUUGUUAUCCUAAAUCCAGCCCCUUACCCAGCCUUUCUCCAUUAGCUUUUCAUCUGCCAUUCCCCACUGGCCUAAAGCAACACAUUUGAUAUACCUCCAAACGUAAAAUUCAUUUUGAGUUCCUAUAAUCCCUUGUCCCCCUAGAAUUCACAGAUGCAUCUAUUUUCAGGAAGCACAUAAAGUUAUGGUAUAAAAUGCUGGGGCUCUUAAUUUUUUUAAAUGAUAAAAUCAUCCUUUGCUUUUCCAAGCUUUCCCUUCUGCUCUGUAGGCAAUCAUUCUACUGUAAAAGUAUUUACAUGGAAAACCCCAGACUCACUAAUGUGUAGGCUAUUUCAUCACACUGCUGUUUAGCUCUGUCUGGCAUUCUGCAGAAGACCAGUGUGCUCACAGGGAUACCAGUUAGACCCAGCAUUUCAUGUAUGUAAAUGACAGGAGAAAGAAUGUUCAGUUUACGAAAGCAGAGAUGAUUCUCUCUUAGCUGGAUAUUAAAGCACUACUGUCAUUAUUAUUUGUUCUUAUUUCUCCAGAGGAUCUGUGUCUUGAUUAGGAUUCUGUAAUGGUAAAUGCCUCUAUCAAUCACAGGGAGAUCAAGUCCUUGUCAGAAGAUGUGCAUAUAAAGAUACCCCAUACAGUAGCAUGCCUCAAAGGAGCUUGAUAUUAAUUUCAUAGGUGCCAAAUAUAUUAAUGUGAGUUCAGGUAGACUGGUAGGUUUCUGAAAUUUGAGAUAUUUCAUGAUAAAACCUUCUAUUUAUUUAUAUUAAUUAUUCCUAUGAUUCUCCCAGGAAUAAUUGUGAUGCAAAAACGAGGACUUACCUGACUUUCAGAUAUGCGACUUUCUGAACUUAGGAUAUUGUCCUUUAAUAUGUUGAGUAAGGUUGUGUAGGAGUUCUGUAUUAGGUGCUUUCAUCAAAGGAAUGAAAAACUGAAGAUGAAUCCUUGUCACUAGUGCAGUUUACUUAGGAAUUUACUGAGGCUUUAUCCCUUAAUCUAAAGGUUACAACAUUUAAAAUAAUGUGCUUUUAAUAUUCAGAAUGGACCCAAUUGCCCUCUAAGUAGCAGAUAACUUUGAAAUGCUGUUAGGUACAGAUACCCAUACAUUACCUUCCCUCAUUUUCCUUUCAUAGAAAUAAUGAAACUUGAACUUUACUGCAAAUACGCUUUUGUCUUCUGUUCAAGCAAAAGAGUAAGAGUUGACUAUAAGCCUGCUCAUGUGUGGUGUUCCUGAGUUCACUGCUUGAUUUGUUUGCAGAGAUGGCAAACCAAGAAGAUAUGUUUAAAACACUGCCAGUUGUUUUCAUGUGUAAGAAGAAUCCCAUCCAUGAAGGAAUCUGAACUAGGAGGACAGGACAGGAGUUCUUGGCUGCACUCUUUUGCUGACAUCAUUAAGCUCUUGCCAUAAGAUUGUAUGAAGAUGCACCACCCAAGGAAUUUUAGAUAAAAUGUUGCAGAUUGACAUCAAAUACAGGGCAUAUAUAUACACAUCCAUUCCAUUUCACAGAGCAUCCACUCUCUCUCCAGGCACAGCUGCAGGACUCUUCAUAAAUAAAUAACCUCGUGUAAGACAGAUUAUGUUCCUCGGAUAUCAAUCACUGGAAAAAGUGAUUAAAAGAGACAGAGGGAUCAAGGUGCUUUAGACUUGUCCAUGUGAAGAAAUGGAUUGUCCAAGGGAGGGUAAAUGUACUCAUUCUGUCUAUUCAUUUUGCUUUAACAGAAUUAAUGUUAUAGUUUUCUGAAUUUAUUUUUUUUUUUAGUGAACCAACACUGCUACUCUUGGGAAUCUGUUGAAAAUGUGCAACCCAGGAUUAAUUAUUGGGAAGCCAUGAUAGUGAAUCAUGGGAUCAUAGACUAUCCUGAGUUGGAAAGGACUCAUGCAUCAACUCCUGACUCCACAUGGGGCAACCUGAAAGUUAAACCUAAUAUCUAAGAGUGUUCAAACACUUCCUGAACACUGACAAGCUUGGAUCCAUGACCUCACUGAUAUAGCAACUGAAGAUUUUAAAGCCAUGGGAAUAACCUUUGGCUUGAAUUUAAAUGCAUAUCUCCAGGGACUUCAAACUCAAAUCAGACUGCUUUCUACCCAACAGAUUUUGCAGCAGUGAGCUUUAGGUGUUUUCCAGAUGAAGUAUUGGACCAAAUGAGCCUACUGGUGUAUCAUUGUAAGGAGUCUGUAAAGGAAGCUUCUGUUUAAAGAUCGCUGCUUACUGUGUAGUGCAUCAUUUUUCCACAAUAUUGGAUGCCUGGCCAUGUGCAGAGUUUUUCUUAUCUAAGGAUACCAGCUGUUUACUGGAGGAUGAAACUAGUUGUUCCUUUCUCAAGCAAUGUCUGUCACAAGGAGACAAAAAUCACAGCACCACUGUGGGUGUGUUACAUAAAUUGCCACAAUGGAGUGUAUUUCAGAUCCUUCAUCUCAGAGGCCAUCUGUCAUUGAAAGUGGCACGUUCACCUGCCCAUCACUUCUGCAGGAAUGUGUGCACUAGACAGGGCACAUCCCCAUGAAGUUAACAAUAGAGCAGCUCUUCAUACAGCUGACUUUUGAAAGACUUGGUAAUCAAGUCGCUCUUUCAGAUGGGAAUAAACAUCGCAAAUAGAUUGUUCUUUCUGUCCAAAAGAACAACAAAUGGUAUUUUGUUUCAGGAAAGACCAAACUAGUUCCCUGAAGGAUAUUUUUCUACUCAGUAGAAUCCGACAUUGCUUCUGUGAGUUCAUCUCUACUGUCUCUGACCCUUGACAGUAAUCACAGAGUUCUAAUAGAAAAAUUAUCCUCGAGUCCUUGAAUGGAUCUAGGGAAGAUUCAGCAUUUUUAUGAUUGUUAAUCCUUAUAUAUAUUUCUCUCCAUUUUCCUUCAACUUUUGUAUUUCCUUUAACUUGACAAAGUGGAAGUAAGACAGACACGAUGUGUACAAUUAUUAAUAUUAUUUGUCUGGAGUGUUUUUUGGUUUGAGAAUAUGUAUGCAUUUCUGUAUUUGUUUAACUUUUCCUUGUUCUGUGUUUAAUGCAAACUGUGUAAGUUGUUGAAAGAGGAACUUGACAGUGUGGAUGUGUACUCACAAUUUGCUCAAAGAAUUUCAACUAUGGGUCAGAGAUUUUUCUUUCUAAUCAGUGACAAUGUACAUAACCUUUCUGUCUGCUGUAAAUGUUCCUGUCUCUAAAAUGAGGCUUUACUUGCCUGCCUCACAGGCAUGUUGAAGCUUAAUUAGUAUAAGUAAUAAAUGCUAAGUAUUAUUUUAAAAGAUCUAUUGCUCUCUAAAAUUAUCAAGUUUGGAUCUUAAUUCACAGUUUUAUGAGCUAGGGUUCAGUAUUGACUGCCUUAGAUUUUCACAAAGCCUCUUCUGAAUUUAAUAAGGGAUUUAACAAAAUAACUGUUGAAAACACUUAUGAUUCUUAAUAAAAAGCUAACUUGUACUUGCAUUAAACUCUUAGAGCUGUGCACAUUAUCAGAGUUUUCUUGUAUGACAGUCUUUGAAAUGCAAAUGUUGUACAGGUCUUGUCUGAAGAAUAUAUGGUUGUUAUUGUAUUACCGUAUAUAAAAUGUUUUUCUGCAGAUAUUUUCUUAAAUUAUUUUCUUCAGACUCCAGUAUACAGAAGGAGCAUCAUUUAAAAACACAUGCAUUCUUUCAACAUUUCACAGGUAAAAACAAAUUACACAGUGGAAAUUUAUUCCAUUUUUCUAAGUUGGGAGAGCAAAGAGUAAAAUAUUGGAGUUUCAAGGUACCUGGACUUGUGCCUUCUCAUGUUUAAUACCUUUCUUAGCAUUCCUUGGAAGAUAAGCAUUGCAUUUUUUUUUUUUUUUUGUUUUCUGUUGUUUCAAACAUGCUCAAAGGGUCAGAGGUAGUGCUGUUUAUGUUGUUGUUGUUGUUGUUUUUUUGGUUUUUUGUGUUUUUUUUUUUUUAAUAUAUAUUAGAGGUGCUUCUGGAAAACUCUAUCAAUAAAGUUAAAAUAUGCAGUAUAACUCCAAGGAACAAUAUGUGUUCUGCAAAAUUUAGAGAACAGUAAGAGGAGUAUUCUAGAGAAACUUUGUUUAUUGUGAAGUUAGUUCUGUGUGUGUUUUGAAUGUGAUUUUCCUUUUUCUGCUCUUACACUUUUUCUAGAGGCUACUUUUUGCUAUUGUGGUAUCUAAUCUAAUUAACCAUACUUUGCUCAGGGAUUUUGAGAAAGUUCCUCCCAUGAAUUCUUCUAAUCUAAAAGUUGUCUAAAGCUCCAGGAUGAAAAUGUGGUGGCAAAUGUCAUUCUUUUUCUACAAUGUAAGCUCCUUUGGUAGUGUUAAAAAUCAUCUCGUCCUUGGGGUUCACAUUGAGGCUCUGCAACUCUCCCAGAAGCUAAGAAUCAUAACAAAUCUUGUUUCAAUAUCUUUUUUUCAUAGUUAGGAACAUUUUUGAACUUGCCCUUGUAAAUACACAGCAAUAUAUAGAAAACAAUAAAAUAAAACCCACCACCGUUCCCUUCAUUUUAAUCCUUCAAAAAACAGUUUAAUGUGUACUUGCUGAUGUGCCAGAAUUCAUCGUGGUGGUUGUUGUUUUCAAUGCAUGCAUUGAAGUAAUUUUAGAUAGCUGAAUUCACAGCUCUGCCAGGUGAUGUACAGAAGUGGUCAUGCAAAAGCUCACACAAAUAUUUCAGUAGACAUGGCUUAGAAAGGAUUUAUCUCUUGGUGGUUAGUUGUUGAUUUCCAAUGUUAAGAAGGUGCCCUUGUACACUGGUGCAAUUUUAGGUACAACAGUAAUAGCAUUCAGGUCAGUUGUGUUCUAGGAAAAGUUUGUGAUGUCUUUUUAUGAUGAAGAAUGAGGUACAUUCAAGGAUUUUCUGUGUAGCACAACUCUGUCUCUCCAUCUAUUUGAACAUGAAAAUCUGCGUACAAAUUUUCUGCUAAACUGUCAUAAGCAGUUAUGUCUUUGAUUUAUAGCUGACUUCUGGAUGCAUCUGAUGCUUUCAUUCAUUAAGGAAGAUUUCCAGCAAACGGUUUUAUAUCUGCAUAUUUAUCAAGUUGAGAGGACACUGAAAACAAAGCUGCAAAACAUUUCUGUAUUCUCUAACACUAAACCAAAUGAAAUGUUUAACUUUAGGAGCUUUAAACUGGCUCUGACUGACUGGUCUGAUACUUUGUGCUUCACCCCCUGUACUUUGCUAUUUCUUUUCUCAUUAGGAAGCAAGUGACUUCUUAGAUUCCACUUACAAGAGAACAGGAGAAAUAUCUUUGUGUCCUAAAGAUAGUCUAAAAGGCUGCCUUAUUUUUUAUUUCUAAAUAUAUCUCUGAAGAUCUCAGUGGAGAUUUUUGUUUGUCUUUCUCAGAAAAUGAUGGAUACUUUAGACAGGUAAUUCCUCACGCUGCUGGCAUUGGUUCUGACAGAUAGAAAAUACACUACUGGCUUCUCAUGCUGGUGGGUAAAUAAAUCAGGAGUUCGUUUGGACAAGAGCAAAUGGAAUAAAAAUGCAUCAGGAGAAGUUCAGAGUUAGCACUAGGAAAAGGUUUCUCACCCAGAGGUGUUUGAUCACUGGAAUGGAGCUCUCUGGGAAGUUGUCAUAUCACCAAGCCUGACAGAGUUCAAGGAACAUUUGGAUGAAGCUCUUAGUCAUAUGAUUUGGUUAUAGGUGAUGAGCAGCAAGUUGGAUUCGGUGAUCCUUACGGGUCCACUCUAACUUGAGAUAUUCUGUGAUUUAAGACUGCAGAGUUUUGACUGAUUGAACUAGGACUGCAAACUUUAAAACACUUUGUAGUUCAUGUCUCACAGUAGGUUGCAGAUUUUCAGUAUUUGAUUAAACACAUUUUGUGUGGAAGAUGAUUUUGGAAAAUCAGAGAAAGUAGCGAAUUGUUUUCCCCAGGCAGAAAAAUUAAGAAAGCACUAUAUGAGUGAAACAAAGGAUGCUUCUUCUAUCUUUUAAAGAAGAACAUGAUCCCUCUCUAUGUGUCCAGAAAAAGUAUUUUUAAUUUCUUUUGUGGGUUUCUUUUCAGGCUAACAAACCAGUAAGUAUAUAGCCUGUUUCUUUAGCUAUGUACUCCAUUCCCCUGUCCCUUCCCACUCUAAUCUUGAGGAUGAGAAAAAGGGUCUCAUUGCUGAAGAACUGUUGAAGAAGGGAAAUUCUCUGUGGAUUGUUUUUUUACUAUGAAUUUUAAUGAAUAAAUGUGAGAUCUAAAAUUGCUAGCCUCUACUGCCUAAGCUAAAAGACAAACAGUGUCUGCGUGAGGUCUACCUGCAGAGUGUGACAGGAGGAAGAAUUGUCACACUCUGAGCUUGACCUAUUUUCCUUAUUUGAUGGAGAGAAUGAGUGAAUAUCCUGGAUGCCUGUCAACUGUAUGACUGCAGAAUCAUUUAUAUUAGAGAUUUAACUAAAAGAAUAUAGCAACAAAUAUUUACUUACUUUAGUUAUCACUUUCCUGCUGUAUUUAAGAGUUUUCUCCAAGGAGAAUAUGCAGAGCUGUGUUCAAAGAAGCAUGAAAUUCUUUUUUUAACGUAGACUGUUAGUCAACUCUUCAUUUCAAAUGCCCUCUUUAGUCUCCAACAGUCAAAAAGAAAACAACUUAGUUUAUGUUUUCCUUCUAAAAAAGUAAUUUCCUGAGGGUAACUUGGCUUAGGGAAAGACUGGGGAUAAGUUCAACAAUUUAAUACAAUCCCCAAAAAGUCAGUUGCCUUGUGAAUCUUGCAGAAACCAUUUGAAUAUCUUAUAUAUGUAAAGUUUUGAAAUAAAAUACUAUGAGACCAUGACUUAGUGUUUUUAGGUAGGAUGAAAUCAUCUUUAAAGAUUUUUGUUUUGUAAAACACAAAUUUCUUAUCCCUUCAGAGAAAAAGCUUUUCAUAUUUCUUUUUAUUGAUGAGUUAUUUUUAAGGAUCUGCAUUUACCCCUUGUUGCAUAGAAAUUCUCCUCAGUGAUUCAGGUUUGCACUGAGGUAUGUGUGCAUAUAGGAUUUUAAAAUAACUGUAGUGUUUAAAAUAGGAAGUGUGAAAAGUCCUAAUCUUAUUUGAAAGUCAGGGUUCUACUCACUAAUGUUUAGCAUGGGUUUUUUUUUUUUCCAGUGCAUGAAAAAUCUGCACAAAGACAGUAUUUAUCAUUGUGAGUCAGAUAAUGUUGAUUACUUGAACACAGUGCUUAAUAAACUCAUUAAAUGGUCCUUGAGAGGGUUCUAGGGAAAAUAGAUCUGAAGUGUAAGUUCAGAUUCUGUUAGGUUUGCUAUAAGGAACAAUACUGCUUGCCAAGGGGUAACAGGAUUUUAGGGAGCUCAUCUAGCCCACCCUUGUGUCCCAGGGCAGCAACAGCUGUCUCUGCAUCUUUCCAAAACCUGCUGCAUCUCUCUGUACCAGUUUUGGCCAGGACCACUUGUGGAGUAUUUCAGUAAUCAACACAAUCUUAGUAACUCUCAGCUUUUUGUUUACAUUUAGUUCCUCACUUACACCUUGCUGCAAAUUCUUUUUUCCAAUAAACAUGAUUGUAAGUACUAACAUACUUUAGGCUCACAAUUAGUGCCUAUUUAGUGGCUGUGGAUCCCUAUCGAUUUUAAUAUUCCAAAAGCAGAAGUCAGUUGUAUAAUUCACUGUAUAAAUUGACGACAAUAAAAUAGGGAGCUUGGUAGCUUUCUGUAGAUAAUCUGGAAAUAAAAAAUUUAUUGUCAUAAAUGCAUCCAAUAGGAAGCUGUCUGUUUACUCUCUCUCUCUUUUUUCCCCCUCUAAAUUAAAAUACCUUGUAAACUCUACUGUUUUCUGUUAGGUUUGAAGAUAUUUGUCCAUGUGAAUUUUGCGCUAACUUUUCAAUUAUUGUAUGAAAGUAAGGAAACUCAUUCUUUUUAUAGUCAUCUGGAAAAUUUCCAACUCAAAAAGUUUUUGUAGUAUAUUUAUCUUUACAUGAUAGGAAUUCAGUAUUUUGAAUAAGUUAGACCAUUUCUGGCACACAAGUAUAGAAACUCAUGAGAGUGAAGGAAAUGGCUGGGGUUAACCACACACCCAGUUUCUACACAAAGCUGGUUAAAAGAGGGGUAGGGAAAUAGUGUGUUUGCACUCUGCAAUCUAAAGACUACAUUUUUAAAGGAAUGAUAUCUGAAUAGAGGUGUUUACUUAGCUGAGUUCUGUUUUGUGGAGCAGAUGGUGGUCUCAUUUGUUUAGCGAGGGGUUAAACAGAAACUAAUCCUUUAGGCUUACUUUGAAAGGUGGUUAUCUCUCCAGCAAGAGAGAGAAUUGUUUGCUUUGCCAGAAACUGUGUAAUUCUUCCCUAAAUCAUCCUCUUCUCUAAAAGAAUAAACUUCUUAGAGGAAGAAUAUCAUUGGCAAAAGCAAUGUAUUUAGAAGAUUCCAAAAAUUAAUGAAUGUGCUCUCAUAUAUAUCUAACAAACAUAGGCAUUUUGCUUGAUGUAGGCUGUAUUAAAAGUUUUUGUGAAGAAAGUAAUUUUUUGUUACAAGUGCUCUAAUAGCAGUAUCAUUGGUCAUGGGAAAUGGAACAGAAGUGUGGUUGGCUCAAGUUAAUUACAUUUAUUCAAAUGAAAUACUAUUCUACUGUAUUCUUCAGGACAAGCAGAGAAAAUAUCAAAACCUUUUCCAGCCAGUAUUUAUCUGUUUCAAUUAUUUUUGACAGUUUGUGUUGCAUGUGUGCUUUAGCUACAGUGCCUUUAUAUCGACAGUUGGUAGCACAAGCCUUUUAAAGCACAAAGGGUAGCAGUACUUCAGCCAAUCUGUGAUAAAAGAGAAAAAAUGAAAUCACUAUGGAAACUGCAGGAAGAAUCUAAAAGCUUUCUUUAUAAAGUAAACGUCUGAUGUUUGUGGCUGCGGGGGCAAAAAAUUCAUAAAUCUGUACGAUGCUAUCAUCUCUGAUUUGUUAUCGCAGCAAAUGCCAAGUCUAAGCAGUCUGACCUUAGCCUUAUUAAGUGCUUUCUUUUCAGAUACAGUUAUUAUUUGACAAUAGAGAGACUGCAGUGCUGCAAGGGGGAAAACUAAUAUAUUUAAAAUAUGUGUGUGUGUCUACGUGCGUCUGUGUGUGUGUAUAUAUAACUAUCCAUCUUCUUUACCCUGCAAAGCUUACAGAGUUGAGAGCACCGAGUGUGGGAACUCAGGGACUACUAUUCUGAGCACAAUUGAGAAAACUAUGUUUCGUCCCAUUGCAUGUGCUCGUCUUUGAUCUCAAAUUGAAAAUCUCUCAGCCUCUUCCUCCAAUCCAAAAGCAAAUAAAUACUGAGAGAAAGAAACCUCUCUCCUCUCAGCACAUAGGGCCUCCACAACUGAAAAAUGAAGGUGGCUGUAAGAGCUCUGAGGAACCUGUUUGGACAACAGACAGCAAAAAAAAAACUACCUGUCUUGGUGGAGGGGUUUAAGAACACUGCAGAGAUCAUCAGACAGUACAGAAUCUCUUGGCUCACACGGGCCGUUCUCUUUAUCUCAAAACAAUACCAGCCAAGCUCCUCCAUUCCUACAACUGAAGAGCUGUGGGAGCAGAAGGACAGUAACUAAUACAGCUUUUCAAUAUGAAUCUGCUUGUUUUAUUAAGAAAAAAAAAAAAAAGAAAAAGAAAGAGAAAUACAUUAAUUCACAGCAAGGCAAGAUCUCUGAUUCCAAGGAAGAAAACUAUCCACGGCAGGUUGAAGCCACAGGGGCAGAACUGAAUUGCCUUUCUCCAUCCUACUACUUUACUUCACAAAGUGUUUCUUCGAAAAACAGCAGCUCCCAGGGAUCAGUGCUUAAAACGGUAGGUCCCAACCCAUCCAAGGUGAUGAAAAUGAGUGAUAAAUAUUAAUUCCUGCUAACAAGUGAAUUGGCAAACUGGAGUAUCUGUAAUGGACUCUGCCUACUUCAAUCACAGUUCUUAAGGAAGCAAGGAGGAAAUUCCUUGUUAAACACAUUUGGUGUUGAUAUUGUUUAGGAGAUUUGGGGUAUGUUUUGUGGUUUUUUUAUUUGUUUGGGUAUUUUAUAAAGAAAAUAUCCUAUUUAUUCUAUUUAUCACUUGUCUUGAUACGGAACUGAGUACAAGGUCGACUUAAAAAGUAAACUUUUUCAAAAGGGAUGGUUUAAUUCAAUCUAAAUGUGUGAAUAUGCCCUGUUGCUAUAAUUCAUGUAUUACUGGUUAGCUAGGCAAAUGUUUGGGCUCAGUGUUGAAUGGAGGGAGGUUUUACAAAGUAUGCAUUUGGGGCUCAGAAUCUGAAACUACAAAAAAAAAAAAAAAGGAUUUAUCUGAGCAGUGCUUUGGUCUGCUGAUGUUAGCUCUAAAGUAAUCGGAGGAGAAAAAAAAAGAUAUUGUCACCUUCUACUCAUUUUCUCCAACAGGUCACGUAUCAAAAAUGUAAUCUGUAGGACUAAUGUGAACUGGAGAAAUCUACCUCUGAUGUUGGCUUCCUAUGCCUUUAUGUAGAAUGUUUGUAAUUAUCUUGCUGAGUUGUAAUCCCUGACAAAGAAUCUGGAGGAGAAUGCAAUAGUCUAAUUAUGUUUCUGUGAAAGAGCUGAGGGGAAAAAAAGUUGUGCUCUUUAGAAAAGCAUUUUAAAGAAAACCAAUUUUUUAUUAAUAUGCAUACCAAAGUUUGGGAAAGUUAAGAUUUCUUUAUGUACUGUAAUCCCAGGUUGUUUUAUAUUGCUGUAUAUAAACAUAGUUGAAUGUAUAUUAAUUGUAAGUUAUUUCUUAAACUACAUGCUUUACUUGCCUACAUCUAAAGCAAAAUAGGUACUGGCAACAGUCAAAAUAUUUUUAUAUAUUUAUAUUUACUUUCUUACAUUUUUCAGUAUUUUCUUAGAUAAAUGAAGUCAAGUUGCCACAUAAUAAAUAAACAUAUUUUGUUAAAACUAAAAAGUCAGUGCUUUCUUAUAUGAUGUUUUACAGUAGCUUUUGUAUUAAGGAAAUAAAGAUCAAGAAUAGCAAUAAGUUAAAUUUAAAUUGCACUUCAUGAAGAUUUCCUCCUGUUACGUUCUUUUAUAUAGGGAACUAGGCACAAACAAUGUGAAGUUGUAAAACUGACUUUUGAUCAUGGAAGGAACUCACUUUUUAUAGAUAGGUUUGUCCACAAAGAGAGGCAAAAGGUUAAUUGAGGUUGCAUAUUUGAAUACAUGCAUUUUACCUCUGUAAGAGAGUUACUGAAACACUGUUUUUUCAUAUCUGGUAUGAAAAAUUUCUAAAUCCAAAAGGAUUUACUACAGAAUCAUUAAAAUUGAAUCUCUAAAGGAAAAUGGAUAUGUGAUACUGCUGUGUGCCUUGGUUUUCCAAAGUGGGGCUGUGUGGGUUAGCUGAAACAAAUUACUCCAGCAGUCUGUUCUCAAGCAAAUUUCUCAGAUGCAGAAUUGUUAUGCAAGACAUACCAUGCUCUUCAUGCUCUCUUUUUGGGAAUAAAAUUCCAACUGUUCAUAUAUCUGAUGGUAUGUGAGAUUAGUUAGCCAAUGUUGGGCCUAUAAUGCCUGCUUUUAGUAGACAACUUACACAACUAAAAACAAAAAAGGAAAAAAGUCUUGCUUUUCCUCCCCCUUAAGUGUCCCAUUUCCCCCUUCCACUUAGUGCUUGUUUGGUUUUUGCUGUUUAGAAUUUAACAAAAAAGAGAGAGAAUGAGAAGAAAAAAAAUUAGUGCCAAUCACUGUGAACAAGCAUAAUCUUUUACAUAAAUUCCAUAAAUUGUACUUUAUAGCAA